CUAGUACUCCCUCUGUUCGGAAUUACUUGUCGCAGAAAUGGAUGUAUCUAGACGUAUUUUAGUUCUAGAUACAUCCAUUUCCGAGACAAGUAAUUCCGAACGGAGGGAGUACUAG
rnacentral:pre_miRNA from 1 species